rnacentral:rRNA from 1 species
AUUGAACGCUGGCGGCAUGCCUUACACAUGCAAGUCGAACGGCAGCACGGGUGCUUGCACCUGGUGGCGAGUGGCGAACGGGUGAGUAAUACAUCGGAACAUGUCCUGUAGUGGGGGAUAGCCCGGCGAAAGCCGGAUUAAUACCGCAUACGAUCUACGGAUGAAAGCGGGGGACCUUCGGGCCUCGCGCUAUAGGGUUGGCCGAUGGCUGAUUAGCUAGUUGGUGGGGUAAAGGCCUACCAAGGCGACGAUCAGUAGCUGGUCUGAGAGGACGACCAGCCACGCUGGGACUGAGACACGGCCCAGACUCCUACGGGAGGCAGCAGUGGGGAAUUUUGGACAAUGGGCGAAAGCCUGAUCCAGCAAUGCCGCGUGUGUGAAGAAGGCCUUCGGGUUGUAAAGCACUUUUGUCCGGAAAGAAAUCCUUGGCCCUAAUACGGUCGGGGGAUGACGGUACCGGAAGAAUAAGCACCGGCUAACUACGU